CGUUAUCCGGAAUUAUUGGGCGUAAAGCGCGCGUAGCCGGUUUCUUAAGUCUGAUGUGAAAGCCCACGGCUCAACCGUGGAGGGUCAUUGGAAACUGGAAAACUUGAGUGCAGAAGAGGAAAGUGGAAUUCCAUGUGUAGCGGUGAAAUGCGCAGAGAUAUGGAGGAACACCAGUGGCGAAGGCGACUUUCUGGUCUGUAACUGACGCUGAUGUGCGAAAGCGUGGGGAUCAAACA
rnacentral:rRNA from 1 species